rnacentral:rRNA from 1 species
UUACACAUGCAAGUCGAGCGGAGUGAGGNGCUUGCACCUUAUCUUAGCGGCGGACGGGUGAGUAAUGCUUAGGAAUCUGCCUAUUAGUGGGGGACAACAUUCCGAAAGGAAUGCUAAUACCGCAUACGUCCUACGGGAGAAAGCAGGGGAUCUUCGGACCUUGCGCUAAUAGAUGAGCCUAAGUCGGAUUAGCUAGUUGGUGGGGUAAAGGCCUACCAAGGCGACGAUCUGUAGCGGGUCUGAGAGGAUGAUCCGCCACACUGGGACUGAGACACGGCCCAGACUCCUACGGGAGGCAGCAGUGGGGAAUAUUGGACAAUGGGGGGAACCCUGAUCCAGCCAUGCCGCGUGUGUGAAGAAGGCCUUAUGGUUGUAAAGCACUUUAAGCGAGGAGGAGGCUACUGAGACUAAUACUCUUGGAUAGUGGACGUUACUCGCAGAAUAAGCACCGGCUAACUCUGUGCCAGCAGCCGCGGUAAUACAGAGGGUGCGAGCGUUAAUCGGAUUUACUGGGCGUAAAGCGUGCGUAGGCGGCUUUUUAAGUCGGAUGUGAAAUCCCCCGAGCUUAACUUGGGAAUUGCAUUCGAUACUGGGAAGCUAGAGUAUGGGAGAGGAUGGUAGAAUUCCAGGUGUAGCGGUGAAAUGCGUAGAGAUCUGGAGGAAUACCGAUGGCGAAGGCAGCC